AGUUAUGUUGGUCAUCACAGCUGCCUUAAUGCCCCAGACUGACUUGAAACCUUUACUUUCAUGUCCAUUUUGACUGUGGAGGGAAAAGCCAAAAGUUGUGUGGCGCCACAUCCCGUGAAUGAAGUGGAUGAGGACACAGCAUAAUAUUUGUACAAAACUACCUUUCUGUUAGAUGACACUCAGCAGCAGCAUUCACUGCAUUUUUUAUCACACCUCACAAAGUGACAAAGGAGGAUUUCCACAGCUUGUCUCAGAAAAUGAUCCAGCAGAAUUCUUGUGGGCAUUCUGGAUAGCUGGAACAAGCUUAGAGGUGAAUCCAGACAACUGAAGAAAAAAGGAAAAGACAGAGUUAGUGAAGGCAAAGUAAACCCUACAACACCCAGCCCUCCAAGUCCUCACAGAGGUUGAACAUUCUCCUGGGGCUAUGCUUCUUACUUAACCAUAAAUGGCCACUCAGAGUACUUAACGCUGCUUGUUUGCCUUUCGAUCAAUUAAUCAGUUAAUAUAUUAUGUACAUAAUAAAAUUAUCUGCUCUGUCUCAUUUCUUUUUCAUUAUUCAUAACUUGUAUAAGACUAAGAAGUGAAGUCAACUUGAUAAAUAUUUGUUGAUGAUCUAUGAUAAAUCAGACAGUUGCUG
rnacentral:lncRNA from 1 species